rnacentral:lncRNA from 1 species
UUGGCCCUUUUGAUGUCUUUGCUCUAUUCUCGUUACACGAAAAUGAGCAAAGAGGGGCAGCUGUACGAGCCCAUUUUGCCCGGGCCCAGUGCAAAACAAAAACAAAAUAAAAAUAAAACAUAAACCAAAUACAUUGCAGCCCAAAUUUCAUAUGGCCCAAACUACCCAAAAUUAACCCUAAACCCAAAACAAACAUAACCCUAGCCCAAGAUUAACCCCAUUUUCAGCAAACCCUAGUUUGCUUCCCCAAGCUAGCCGUCGCAAGCUUCCAUGCGUGGCCCCCUCGUCCACCACGCCCCACGCGUCUGACACUCCCACCUGCUCCACCGUGCCCACCACCUGCAACAAGAACAAACACAACAGCAAAGAAAACAUGCGAAUGAUGGGGGAAGUAAUAAACAAAAGGAACAAAACAAAUAUAUUGGCUUUAAAAGCCGAAAUCUAUCAUUGGAACCAGGACGAUUUUUGAUAUUUCAAAGGAGGGGAAAACAGAUUGUAUUUUGGAUGAGGGAUUUGAGGGGAAACGGAUUGUAUUUUGAAAUGGGGGGAUCGAUUGUAUUUUAGGGAAACCGGUUGUAAAUAGGGGGGAUUAGAGAGGAAAAACCGAUUGUAAAACGGGAGAGGUUACAUAGAGAGAAUACAAAAAAGGACUUGAAGGUGAUUUUCAGAUCAAUUUUUUUUUCUUUUUUGAUUUUUUGGGUUCUCGUUUUCUUUCUUCUUGAUCUUUACUUGCUGCACAUUUAUAACAAAAAGGGAGAGCAUUACAAAGCAACAAAAAAUAGAAAAAGCAGUGAUUUCAAGGUUUUCGCACUCUUUUUUUUCUGUUCUUAUUCCUUUUUUACCGUAUUUUGAAUCUACUUGACAAAUCUAAAAGAGGAGUUUAUUUACCUUUUUUGUUGUCGAUUUAGUCGACGUUGGCUCCUCCGGCCUGAUGGUUGACAGAUCCUUGUGGUCUGGCUAAAACCGCGACGGUGGUGGAGGCGUAUUAUACGCUGGUGAAGCCUAAGAGUCGGCCAAGGUAAAGAAUAGAAGAAAAAUGGGGGCGGUUAGAUAUAAGUUUUAGUAAAAAUGACAGAGCUCAGUGGUUCUUUUUUGUGUUUUUUUUUUAUAUUGAAACGGUGGUGUUUAAGGGUGGGGGCCGCGUGUUGAUCCAUGCCCAGACCCAAUUUGUGCAUUUAUAUGACGAAUGGGAAAUUUCCACAAUUAAUCCCUCAUUUUUGCAUCACAUUCCAACAGACCCCAUUAGCAUCCAUGUGUUUCAUUUUAAUUUUUCCCCAAAAAUUUGUACACCAUUCCAUUUUAGUCCACUCCAAGGUGCAGCGUUUUGGGACCUGGAUUAUUUCUAGUCCUAGUCCCUAUACAUUUAUAUACUUUGCAUUUUUUUUAAAAAACUAUCUUAUUUGUAAAUUAUUCCUUUUAUUUUAGGUUUAAUUUUAAUCUAGCCUUUUAUUUGUAUAAUCUGCUAUCUUAAAAUACUUUUAAUAUUUUUGUAUAUGUUAGUUUUCAUUUGUUCAAUUAUUUUGAGAUUUCUUUUAUCCUAUUAUUUUUUACAUUUUUCACAAUAUUUUUAUAUACAUAUUAUUAUACAUAUUAUUCUCAUUGAGUGUUCAAUUUAUAAUACAUAUUAUCGUGAAGACUCACAAUAUUUUUGUACAUGAGUGGAACCAUCUUAAUAACUUUAGCUUGUUUUAUAAAAUCAUCAUUUUAAAAUUCUUUUUGAGCUAUUUUAGUACUUUCAUAUAACAUCUUGUUUAAAUAUUUAUAUAUAUAUUACUUGUUUCAAAUUUAUUUUUCAUCUGUUAUUAUUUUAAACCUUUUACUAUUUAUUUUAAAUUGCUUUAUAAAUCAUUUACUUUACUUGGUUCUAUGUAUCAUUUUUGUUGUUUUGUACAUUGAUGAUUUUAAAUCGUUUCAUGCUAUUUAUUUUAAAUUGCUUCUUGUAAUAUUUAUCUCAAACGUGUUUUUACAUAUAUUACUUAUCUAAAAUUAGCUUGUUAUUCAUUUUUUAUCUAUUUUAAUUUGCUUUGUAUAUUAUUUGUUUUAAAUCGUUUUUUUUACCUCAUUCAAUUUAAUUUGUUUCAUACUAGUUACUUCAAGUUGUUUCAUAUAUUAUUUUGUUUCAUUUCUUUAUCAUUAAUAUUGAUGCCAAUAUAAUAUGUGUUGUAUGGUUAUUAUCAUUAGGUACUUUGUAGUUCGUUUACUCAUAUUGUCAUGUUAUUGUGAUUUAUUGUGGUAGUAUUUUAUUUGCCAAUUAUUAUGCCACGUUUAUAUCAUCAUUUUUCCUCGUUUCAUUCAAAUCACAUCGUGCAUUAAAGCUCGAAUGCAUACAUUUAAUGUAGAUUGUUUUACCUUAUUCCGAACAAAUCAAAUACACAUCCUUUUGAAUUUCAUACUUGUUAUUCUUUCAUAAAAAGAAAAUUCUCUAAUAAAUACAAUAUUCUGCGUUCGGAAAUUUGAGAGAUCGUGCCCUAACGUGCUGGGUUUCGAUUUCUCGUUCAACUAAAUAGCCAAAUAUCCUCUUAAAGCUUCAAAGUAUGGCUUCAAUAAGCUAUAAGGUGAUCUUGGUUUCGAUGGUAUAGAGUAUCGUGUCCUAACGUGCUGGAUGUGAUAUUCCUUCGGAACAAGAGAAUCUUAUAUUUCAAUUCACGUUAUCAGAGUUUCUCUUAAGGAUCGUAUUUUUUUUAAAACUCUUCAAAUUUUCAAUUUUCGACACUAAGACAAUGAUUAAUCAACUAGGUACCAAUUUUGGGCGUAUCGAGGGUGCUAAUCCUUCCUCGUGCGUAACCGACUCCCGAAUCUUUUUUUUUUCUGAAUUUCGUAGACCAAAAUCGUUAUUUCAAUAAAAAUUAAAUCGUUUAUUAAAAAUAGCCACUCUUCGAGGUGACCCGAUCACACCUCAUCAAAAAAGAUUGGUGGCGACUCCCACUUUCGUUUUCAUUUUUCAAAAUCCAAGUUGACCCCGUUUUCCAUCAAAAAAAAAGGUGUCAACAGCUUGGCGACUCCACUGGGGAGAAUAAGAGAGUCAAGCCACGUGUUGAUUAUUUCUUGUCUUUUUGUUGAAAGUGGAAAAUUCGAUUUAAAUUUACGAUCCUCUCAUUGCAUCUCUUUUGUUUUGAGUUAUUUUUUUAUCGUGUUCUGUAUUUUAUUUUAUACCUCUGCACAUUGCAUUGCAUGACCGCUGGUCACACCUUUUAAGUGGGAGUGAGAAACUACGCCUUCGUGAGGUUUUCACCUCCGCAUGGGAUAGUGAAUCGCUUCCGGGAUACAUCCGUACCUAUGUCUUCGUGAGAUUUUCAUCUCCGCAUGGCCAUAGGGAAAUGUAUUCCCCUGAACUGAACUCGGUCCAUAUGAGCCUAUAAUGGGUGAGGAUCGAGGAAUCUGCUGGUUCAGGUACCCUUACUUUAGAACCAAACCUCAUGUAGUGAACCUUAGGAGCUCACCCUAGUUAGAGCCACUCCAAACCCCUAGUAUUCACCCAAAUAGGUGUCCUAUUUAUUCUUGCUUGCUUUUGCUUUGUACUAACAUAUUUUCUUUUUGUUAUGAUUGCAUUGCAUUUUCAUCAUAAAAAGAGGUGUUGAUUCAUGUUCGGUUGUUAAAUAGAGAGCUUGUCAUAAGGAAAUGGGUUUCUCGAUAAAGUGGAUAAUAAUACGGUUGUCCGAAUAUGGUCUAAGGAAACGUGAUAAGAGAGGGAUGUUAGUUUAAUGGAGGACUACACAACCAUUGCUCCGUUGCCCGAGAAUUCAAAGUGACAAGGAUUAUUCGAGAGCUGCUCAAUUUUUUUUAAAGAGAAGCCAACGAGCAUCACGAGGUUGAGUGAGCAACGAGUCACGGCCCGGAUCGAGUAAAAGGAGAUAGAAGAGACGUCCCUUUUGAAGAGUUUGUGAGACUUAUCUUAACACUCGAAUGAAGAAGAGGAUCGAAUGACUCCGCCUAUGAGGGUGAAACUGUAUAUAUAUAUCCGCUUUAUGUAAAGAGAUUUGUUUUCUAAUAAGGUUGUUCUAAUAGAAUUGAACCAAGAAUCAACGUCUCUUUUUGCAUUCAUUUCAUACAUUGCAUCAUAUGCAUUAGAUUUUCACGAAAUGGCCCUAAUUAAGUAAAAUUAUUUCAGUUACCCUGGAAACCAACAAGAAUCCACCAACCACAUAUCAUUACGGUACCCGUUGCCAAACAAAAGCAAUGGAUCAGAGGUUAGAAAGGCUGGAACAAAUGCAAAAAGAAAUGCAAGAUCAGAUGCACGAGCGACUGGAAAAAAUCCAGCAAGACAUGUUAGAAUCCCAGAACACUGUGAUGAACCAAUUAAAGCAGUUAUUGACUGGAAGGAAUGACAAAGGAAAAGGCCCUUUAGUUGAUGCUGGGGAUGAUCACGAUGACCCUGCCUAUCCUCCAAGUUUCACCCCAACUAACAUUCAAGCGCAACCAGAGGUGUACCCGCAGAGGGCACCUGUUACCAUUAGAUCCCAAUACCAGGUCGGUGCCCCGGCAUCGAUGAAUUUUCCAAUAGGCUCGGGUUCUAAUCCCGGUGAUAAUCCUACCAACCCCGUGUUUCCUGAUCUCGAUAACAUGGCAGAGAUGGAGAAAGUGAAAACGGACUUGUCAAAACAACUUGGGGACCGAUGUAGAUGGCUAGAGGAGAAAUUUAGAGCCAUGGAGAACACCGACUACCAUUGUGGAGUCGACGCCAAGGACUUGAGUUUGGUACCUGAUCUAGUACUCCCUCUCAAAUUCAAAAUGCCGGAGUUUGAAAAGUACAACGGGACUAGUUGUCCUGAAGCUCAUAUAACUAUGUUCUGUCGAAGAAUGACAGGAUACAUCAACAAUGAUCAACUGUUGAUCCACUGCUUCCAGGACAGUCUGAUCGGGUCUGCAGCUAAGUGGUACAACCAGUUAAGCCGCGUCAACAUCCAUUCAUGGAAGGACUUAGCACAGGCUUUCAUAAAGCAGUACAACCAUGUGACAGAUAUGACACCCGAUAGAAUCACAUUGCAGAACAUGGAAAAGAAGCAAAGUGAGAGCAUUAGGCAAUAUGCCCAAAGAUGGAGAGAGGUCGCGACACAGGUCCAGCCACCUCUUUUAGAGAAAGAAACCACGAUGCUUUUCAUCAACACUCUGAAAGCACCGUUCAUUAACCACAUGUUAGGAAGUGCUACCAUGAGCUUCUCAGAUGUAGUGAUGUCUGGUGAAAUGAUUGAAAAUGCAAUAAGAAGUGGGAAGAUAGAUGCGGAAGAAGGCAUCAAGAGAUCAACCCCAAAGCACAAAGACAAUGAGGUGAACAACACGAGUACAUAUAGCAAGGGUUAUUCAAAACCAAUUACGGUGAAUCAGCCAAGAAAAAUGGUCGCUAACCAACAAGGCUCAUUGAGACAAGAACCUGGAGUGAAACCAGGUACUGAGAACCUCCAGUUCACACCAAUUCCAAUGUCAUAUGAAGAGUUGUAUCAAAAUUUAUUCGAUGCACAUGUUGUUUCCCCUUCCUACUCAAAACCCCCACAACCUCCAUAUCCAAAGUGGUAUAAUGCGAACACACACUGUGACUACCACGCAGGAAUUACGGGGCACUCAAUAGAGAAUUGCAUCACCUUCAAGAAACUAGUUGAAAAACUCAUCAACAUGGGUAUUGUCAAGUUGGGUGACUCAUCUACUGCAGAGAAUCUGCUACCCGAUCAUGAUUGUCAAUAAGGUGAAUAUGAUGUAUGAAGAGAUGUUGGGAAGUGUUCACAUCAAUGACAUGCAUGAAGACACAACUGAAGAGGGGACUUUGUUAGAUGUCUGCCCUUAUAAACUUGGAAGUGUUCUAAAUAAAUCAGACUGUAAAAGAAGUCUCUGUAGUAUUUAGAGCCUACUUAGAGUAAUAUUCAGAACAAACUUGUUGCUUUUAGCCUGAAGCAAUAUGAAUUUUUUUUGUGAAAUAGGCUCAUGUCUGAACGUCAUUAUUUUAAUGAAAUGCAUCUUUGCGAUCAUUUUUGAGCUAAUAUUCUUUCAUUCUUUAUGAAUAAUUAUUCAUUCUUUCUCCAAAAUCAUUCAUUCAUUCAUAAUUAUACUGUCAAGAUAAUUAUUCUUAAAUUCAUACAUUCUUUGUAUAUUCUUUUGCACCAACAAUAGGUCCCUGAAUAAAACGACAUGAAUGACACUGCUACAGACUCAGAAUCUCCUUUUGAGCGAGACAUGUGUUUAGAGGAAUCUCAUGACUUCGAAGAUGACAUAGAUUGUGGCCUAUCUCCGUACUUAUUGAGGAGGGUAGAACAAGGUGAAAACAAAUUCCACCUUACGAAAAAUCAAUGGAGUCCAUGUGAGGCAUGAAGGUUAUUAGGUCGAUCUCGCCAAAAAAAGGUCUGGCGGUCAUCAGUUUAUCUUCACGGGAAGAAGCUGCUUCAUAUGCCAAUGUCACGAAGUCGACAGUGAAUUUUUUGAAAAAUCACGAAAAGUCGAAAAGAAUCAUAUUUGACAAUGCACUAAAUUUGAACAAGAGCAAAAUAUAAGAAGUUUGCAGUCUGUUCAAGAUUAACACCAUAUCGCCAAAAAAACUCUCUCAGGGCAACGCCCUCUUUUUGGGCUUAUCGCGGUUUCACCUAUUGAGGUCGAGAUUUCUUUCUCUUUGAGUUUUUUGGAUCCAAUCCUGGUUGGAGAGGAAUGUUCAAAAUAUCUAUCAUGGUCAAAUGUACCAAAAACAAAUGGUAUAAGUUCACCAAAACAAGGUUUGCUCUAGAGAAUUCCACAAGGGGGACCCGAUAUCAGAGAAGAUCCUUCCCAUACAAAAGGGACUUCAGAAGAAAGUGGAUGCCAAGCCAGAAGGACCUUAUGUGGAAGGCUUUAUCUGGGAGAGUGUCGGUAUGACCAAGAUAGAUGGCAAGAACUUGCCUAAUCUUAAUAAUUUUGAUUCAAGGAACAAAUACUUCACUUAAAAAAAAGGAAAAUUAAUGAAAAGAAGAAAAGAAAAUGAGUAAAAAAGGAGAGGCCAAGGUGAAAACCCACAAAGGGCGCCUUGAGACCAGAGGGGCUUGAGUUGAAAACCCAAAAAAAGGGCGACUCAAAUUUUGGAUCAAAUUGGGGCAUGAGGCGAUCAGAGCAGCUCAAAUUUUGAUCAAAUCCGAGCAUGUAAUGAUCUUACUAUACCUGAUUCAACAGGAAAGGGUAGGUAGCAUCUUGGGGCAUCGACAAAGUCUUGUAGAUCUCCUAAACACAUGUCAAACACAGAAUGGUCUUUCAAAGAGUUGGUACAGAGAAGUUCAAGCUACGAUAUCUGGGGCAUCUUGUUCUCAUACUUUUUUUUCUCUUGGAAUACUUCAUUCUUUUUCAAGAUACGUGUUCCCAAUUAAUUCCCCUUUUAUUCUUGCUAUCCUUGAUAGUUUAUCCAUUUUGAGCUAUGCUCUCAAAUCAAUUCUAUUUUAUCUAUCGUUAUGAUCUUUUGCAAGCAUGUUGCAUUGGAAUAAUGAUUAAUGGACUAAUAAAAUUUUCACGAAGGAAGUUUUGCAUAUUACUCUCAAAAGUUUCUAAAUAAUAUAGGAGCCUGAAGCAGGACAAUUGUUUAGAACACUCCAAAUUUAAAGGUUGGAAAUUUGGGAAGGAAUAGUCUAAAUUUAGACUUUCUCUUUGGAUUUUUGUUGUCAAAUGCGUUGAUUGACAAGAUGCCAUGUUGGUGACAAAGCUUGAAUAAACAAGAAAGUGAUGAUCUUCAGGCAAUAGGAAGAGGUUACCUCGGGAAGGAGAGCCCUUGUUUGCGCAUGAGUCUUUGGUACGACACCUUGGGAACGAUGUAAGGGACCAGAAGGAUUUAAAUCUUAUACCCUUGAAUUACGAUAGGAGAAGAUUGAAAAAAGCCAUAUCUUUCUACCCUUGGGUUACAGUAGGAGAUUGAUGGUAUAAAUUUUAUGUCACAAUGGAUUGAACUACGAUGUUCACAGUGGGGGCAAUCAGAUUACGUGUUUCUUUGGAAAUGCCGGCUGGUCAAGAAGGCAUUGCGACACGUUAGUGAUAAAGCCUCAAUAAGCUUUUGAGCGAUGAUAACCUAAGCAUUAAGGAAUUUUUUUCUUGACAUUCUGCAUUCAUUCAAAUACCAUUCACACAUGUCUAGUUAGGAGCAUUUGAUUCAUUUUGAUCAUGCCAUCCUAAUCAUUAGGCAUAAUUAGGUUCAUUAUACAUGUCAUGUUCCCUAGAGAACAGAUCAGUAAAAAUUGAAGAUAAACCUUGCCUCUCUCGGUCGUAGCAGAGCUGGUUGAAGUUAUCAGAUCUUGCCUUCCUGCAUUGACAGCGAAGCAGAUCGAAGACAAACCUUGCCACUCUCGUUUGUAGUAGAGCUGGUUGAAGAUAGCAGAUCUUGCCUUCCUGCAUUGACAGCGAAGCAGAUCGAAGACAAACCUUGCCACUCUCGUUUGUAGUAGAGCUGGUUGAAGAUAGCAGAUCUUGCCUUCCUGCACUGACAGCGAAGCAGAUCGAAGACAAACCUUGCCUCUCUCGUUUGUAGCAGAGCUGGUUGAAGAUAUCAGAUCUUGCUUUUCUGUAUUUGGCAGCGAAGCAGAUCGAAGAUGGCAGAUUUUACCUCCCUGACAACAGUGGAGUACAUUGAAGCCGAUAAUUCUAUCUCCCUGUAUUUGGCAGUAGAAUAGAUUGAAGAUUGCAGAUCUUGCCUUCCUGUAUUUGGCAGCGAAGCAGAUCAAAGAUAGCAGAUUUUACCUCCCUGACCACAGUGGAGUACAUUGAAGCCAAUAAUUCUAUCUCCCUGUAUUUGGCAGUGGAAUAGAUUGAAGAUUGCAGAUCUUGCUUUCCUGUAUUUGGCAGCGAAGCAGAUCAAAGAUGGUAGAUUUUACCUCCCUGACUACAGUGGAGUACAUUGAAGCCGAUAACUCUAUCUCCCUGUAUUUGGCAGUGGAAUAGAUUGAAGAUCAAGGAUGGCAGAUUUUACCUCCAUGUGACUACAGUGGAGUACAUUGAAGCCGAUAAUUCUAUCUCCCUGUAUUUGGCAGUGGAAUAGAUUGAAGAUUGCAGAUCUUGCCUUCCUGUAUUUGGCAGCGAAGCAGAUCAAAGAUGGCAGAUUUUACCUCCCUGACCACAGUGGAGUACAUUGAAGCCGAUAACUCUAUCUCCCUGUAUCUGGCAGUGGAAUAGAUUGAAGAUUGCAGAUCUUGCCUUCCUGUAUUAGGCAGCGAAGCAGAUCGAAGAUGGCAGAUUUUACCUCCCUGUGACUACAGUGGAGUACAUUGAAGCCGAUAACUCUAUCUCCCUGUAUCGGGCAGUGGAAUAGAUUGAAGAUUGCAGAUCUUGCCUUCUUGUAUUAGGUAGGAAGUAGACUGAAGAAAGCAGAUCUUGUCUUCAUGUAUUGGCGUGAAGUAGAUCAAAGAUAACAGGACCGGUCUUCCUAUAUUGGUAGGAAGUGGAUCGACGACGCAGAUCUUGUCUUCCCAUACUGGUGGCGAAUUAGAUCGAAGAAAGCAGAUCUUAUUUUCAUAUAUUGAUGUGAAAUAGAUUGAAGAUUGCAGAUCUUGCCUUCUUGUAUUAGGUAGGAAGUAGAUCGCAGAAAGCAGAUCUUGUCUUCAUGUAUUGGCGUGAAGUAGAUCGAAGGUAGCAGAUCCUAUCUUCUUAUAUUGGUAGGAAGUAGAUCGAAGAUGCAGAUCUUGUCUUCCCAUAUUGGUGGCGAAGUAGAUCGCAGAUGCAGAUCUUGUCUUCCCAUAUUGGUGGCGAAGUAGAUCGCAGAAAGCAGAUCUUGUCUUCAUGUAUUGGCGUGAAGUAGACCGAAGGUAGCAGAUCCUAUCCUCUUAUAUUGGUAGGAAGUGGAUCGAAGAUGCAGAUCUUGUCUUCCCAUAUUGGUGGCGAAGUAGAUCGCAGAAAGCAGAUCUUGUCUUCAUGUAUUGGCGUGAAGUAGAUCGAAGGUAGCAGAUCCUAUCCUCUUAUAUUGGUAGGAAGUGGAUCGAAGAUGCAGAUCUUGUCUUCCCAUAUUGGUGGCGAAGUAGAUCGCAGAAAGCAGAUAUUGUCUUCAUGUAUUGGCGUGAAGUAGAUCGAAGGUAGUAGAUCCUAUUUUCCUAUAUUGGUAGGAAGUGGAUCGAAGAUGCAGAUCUUGUCUCCCCAUAUUGGCAGCGAAGCAGAUCGAUGAUGGCAGAUUUUACCUCCCUGACUACAGUGGAGUACAUUGAAGCCUAUAACUCAUCUCCCUAAGCAGUAGUGGAGCAGACAAAACCACAGAUCUUAUCUCCCUAAGCAGUAGUGGAGCAGAUCGCAUCAAGUCUUAUCUCCUUAAGCAGUAGCGGAGCAGAAGAAACCACAGAUCUUAUCUCCCUAAAUAGUAGUGGAGCAGACUAAAAACACAAAUCUCAUCCCCAUGGAGUCGUAGCAGAGUAGAUUGAAGCUACAAGGCGUAUCUGAAGUUGCAGUAGAGUGAAUCGAAGCAACAAGACGUGGCAGGUUGGAAUAAGGCUACUUGAAGAAGAUGAGCACCAAAAAGUCAAGACUCGGCAAGACCGGGCAAAAUUGGCCCUUUUGAUGUCUUUGCUCUAUUCUCGUUACACGAAAAUGAGCAAAGAGGGGCAGCUGUACGAGCCCAUUUUGCCCGGGUCCAGUGCAAAACAAAAACAAAAUAAAAAUAAAACAUAAACCAAAUACAUUGCAGCCCAAAUUUCAUAUGGCCCAAACUACCCAAAAUUAACCCUAAACCCAAAACAAACAUAACCCUAGCCCAAGAUUAACCCCAUUUUCAGCAAACCCUAGUUUGCUUCCCCAAGCUAGCCGUCGCAAGCUUCCAUGCGUGGCCCCCUCGUCCACCACGCCCCACGCGUCUGACACUCCCACCUGCUCCACCGUGCCCACCACCUGCAACAAGAACAAACACAACAGCAAAGAAAACAUGCGAAUGAUGGGGGAAGUAAUAAACAAAAGGAACAAAACAAAUAUAUUGGCUUUAAAAGCCGAAAUCUAUCAUUGGAACCAGGACGAUUUUUGAUAUUUCAAAUGAGGGGAAAACAGAUUGUAUUUUGGAUGAGGGAUUUGAGGGGAAACGGAUUGUAUUUUGAAAUGGGGGGAUCGAUUGUAUUUUAGGGAAACCGGUUGUAAAUAGGGGGGAUUAGAGAGGAAAAACCGAUUGUAAAACGGGAGAGGUUACAUAGAGAGAAUACAAAAAAGGACUUGAAGGUGAUUUUCAGAUCAAUUUUUUUUUCUUUUUUGAUUUUUUGGGUUCUCGUUUUCUUUCUUCUUGAUCUUUACUUGCUGCACAUUUAUAACAAAAAGGGAGAGCAUUACAAAGCAACAAAAAAUAGAAAAAGCAGUGAUUUCAAGGUUUUCGCACUCUUUUUUUCUGUUCUUAUUCCUUUUUUACCGUAUUUUGAAUCUACUUGACAAAUCUAAAAGAGGAGUUUAUUUACCUUUUUUGUUGUCGAUUUAGUCGACGUUGGCUCCUCCGGCCUGAUGGUUGACAGAUCCUUGUGGUCUGGCUAAAACCGCGACGGUGGUGGAGGCGUAUUAUACGCUGGUGAAGCCUAAGAGUCGGCCAAGGUAAAGAAUAGAAGAAAAAUGGGGGCGGUUAGAUAUAAGUUUUAGUAAAAAUGACAGAGCUCAGUGGUUCUUUUUUGUGUUUUUUUUUUUUAUAUUGAAACGGUGGUGUUUAAGGGUGGGGGCCGCGUGUUGAUCCAUGCCCAGACCCAAUUUGUGCAUUUAUAUGACGAAUGGGAAAUUUCCACAAUUAAUCCCUCAUUUUUGCAUCACAUUCCAACAGACCCCAUUAGCAUCCAUGUGUUUCAUUUUAAUUUUUCCCCAAAAAUUUGUACACCAUUCCAUUUUAGUCCACUCCAAGGUGCAGCGUUUUGGGACCUGGAUUAUUUCUAGUCCUAGUCCCUAUACAUUUAUAUACUUUGCAUUUUUUUAAAAAAACUAUCUUAUUUGUAAAUUAUUCCUUUUAUUUUAGGUUUAAUUUUAAUCUAGCCUUUUAUUUGUAUAAUCUGCUAUCUUAAAAUACUUUUAAUAUUUUUGUAUAUGUUAGUUUUCAUUUGUUCAAUUAUUUUGAGAUUUCUUUUAUCCUAUUAUUUUUUACAUUUUUCACAAUAUUUUUAUAUACAUAUUAUUAUACAUAUUAUUCUCAUUGAGUGUUCA